rnacentral:rRNA from 1 species
ACUCAAAUGAAUAGACGGGGACCCACACAAGCAGUGGAUCAUGUUGUUUAAUUCGACACUAAACGAGGAACCUUACCCAGGCUUGACAUCGAUGGAAUCCGCUGGAAACAGUGGAGUACCCGCAAGGGACCUGAAGACAGGCGCUGCAUGGUUGUCGUCAGCUCGUGCCUUGAGGUGUUCGGUUAAGUCCGUUAACGAGCGCAACCCAUGUCGUUAGUUACUAUGUCUAACGAGACUGCCUGAGUUAAUCAGGAGGAAGGUGUGGAUGACGUCAAAUCAGCAUGGCCCUUAUGCCUGGGGCCACAAACAUGAUACAAUGGUCGGUACAAUGCGUCGCAAUACGGUAACGUAAAGCUAAUCGCCAAAGCCGAUCUCAGUCCAGAUUGAGGUCUGCAACUCGACCUCAUGAAGUUGGAAUUGCUAGUAAUCGUGAAUCAGCUAUGUCACGGUGAAUCCGUUCCUGGGUCUUGUACACACCGCCCGU